rnacentral:lncRNA from 1 species
GAAAUGUUGUGGGCCCCCAGGAGAACAAUUACCUGGAGAGAAGCCUGCCUGAUAAUGGACUGAGAUUCACUCCAGUAGUUUCUCUCUCCCCGCACAGGUCAGUGAUUUGCGGGGCCUUUGCCCAUCGCCAGGGCAUAGAGACAGGCUAGAGGCUACAGAGGAGCACAAAGCGUCCCUCUGCUCCAAUCACCCACAAACUGAGUAUUACUGUCCAGUACAGGAAGUAUUACUGUCCAGUACAUGAAUUUCUCCAUCCACGACUGCAAGGCCCUUGGUGCUCCCAGCCAUCUAGGACAUCUACUCUAAACAGUGCCUGAGGAAGGCACGCAGCAUCAUCAAGGACCCCACACACCCCAGCCACGAGCUGUUUACUCCCUUACCGUCGGGCAGACGUUAUUGGAGCAUGAGGUCUGAUACCAACAGGCUCAGAGACAGUUUCUAUCUACAAGCCAUCAGACUGCUGAACACUUGAACUGGAAUGACCACCUGCACUGAUUCUCCGCACCUUAGCACACAUGCACUCACAAGCACGCACACACACAAACACACAUGCAUUCACGCUACACACACACACACACACACACACAUCGCAACUGCUGCUACCAGACUCUUGUGAUUGCCAAAUACUGC